rnacentral:lncRNA from 1 species
UUUCAAGCGAUUUCUCUCUGGCACUUAAAGGCGCGUGAGGAUUUGAAACGGCUUAUUCUGAAACGGCGCUUGUUGGGCGGCGUGAUCCUAGGAAUCUGACACUCUCUCUCCUACGUGAUCAUCGCAUGCCUUAACUGUCACGCAUCUGUCAUUCCGGGAAACCUUUUCGUAUUUCCAUAGAAGAUUUGAAACGAUUUUUCUCUCUCCUUUCACCCACUAUAAAAGGCAGUCAAUACUUCCAUUUACCUCUUUACUGCUUCAAAUUUACAAGAGAGCAAAAACUCGAAAAAGCUUUACUGUUCCUCUUCUUCUACCUUCAACAAUGGCAGAAUCAUCAUCCGUCCACGCCACCUCACACAUUCUUCCCAUUCGUCCUCAACAAUGCUUGGUGAUUGACCUCACACCGCAGGCGUAUGAUUCUUACAUGUUUCCGAUCAUUGAGUGCUUGAAGUACUCGCAAAUCGCUCCUGCACUAUCAAGGGUUGAGUCUGUGCCCAUGGCGAUGCUCCCGCAGGUGUAUGCGACUGCUUAUUACGACAAAGCAGUCGAACGGGUGUUCUUUGAGGUUGCUGAUCACAAGACCUCAAUUUCAAGGCAGCGAUUCUGCACUCUGCUAGGGUUUGCUGCUGAUUCUUCGAGAAUCAAUCCGGAGACAAUUCCGGUGGGCCAUCUUUACAACAUGUUCUACAAUAUGGGGUACACGGAGGUGCUCAUCUCCGUCGCCAAGUUCAAGAAAUCCUGCUUGCCGCCGCAGUGGAACGGCAUGUUCACAGUCCUCUUCAAGGGCUUGUCGGAACGGAGCUCAGGAUCCGACGGUGCUAGUCGACUUUUCUUGUCGAUUAUGUAUGCAGUUUACAACGGAGUCAACUUAGAUUUUGGGUUGGUCCUCUGGCAACAGCUCAUCCAGAGCCUUUCUUCUUCAUCACGACAUUCUGAGGUGUCGUAUGCCCGGUUCUGGACUCUUAUUACAAAGUGGGCAAUGGAUAAGUUCGACGUCCCCACUCCUGCAGGUGCAUCGAUGUCUUCGAUCGGUACGUUUCAUACCACGAAGAUCAUCGUCUCUGAUGCAUCCAAGUUUUCCUUCAUUGGCUCUAUUCCGGAGACAAUGUAUGGUGAUGUUCCUUCUGACAGCAGGAUCAUCAGGACGAUCAAGGAGUUCAAACAGUCAGGGCCAAGGGAACUCACACCGGAAAUGCUAAAGUCCAUCCACGAUGCUGACAAACCGGUGAACAGGGGCAAAAAGGCGGAAAAAGGGAAGCAAGUGACCAAAGCUCCUAAAGGUCCUUCUCCCAAGAAGAGGAAACAAACGAAACCUGCUCAGUCCCCGCAGCCGAAGAGGAGGAAGACUCAACCGAAGCGAAAGCUUGUAAUCCCUUCCUCUUCGAGUGACUCAGAAGAUGAGCGUUCGGAUUCGGACGGCUCUCAAGGAGGCGAAACCCCUCAACGAGGCAACACCCCACCCCGAUCUCCUACUCCAGACAUGGAAAUCCACAACUCACCAGUUCCUUCACCUACUCAAACAAUCCCUACUUCCAUUCCCACCAUAACCCCCACUACCACUAUUCCUCCAACCUCUUUACCUAUACCACCACCCAUUUUCACUGAUACAACUACAACAACAACUGCAAAGGUUACAACCAACGUAUCUGAUACGGGGGUUCAUACCGAUGCAACCGAAACCCCACCCGUAACUGAACCACCACAAACCGAAACCCAGCAUCCAACCGAACCUACCCACACUCAACCACCACCCGAAACUACCCCACCCCACACUCACCCUGAACCUACCCAACCCACCACACCCCCAGCUUCACCACCUCCAUCAUCUCCAGAUCAUGCCUCUGAUGGAGAUAACCCGUUUCUUGGCGGAGACAACAUGACCUUCGAUUCGGUCUACUUUAGUCCGUUUCAGGUUCAGAGUGACGAAGAGGAUGAUGCUCCAGUGACAAAGAAGCAUCUUAAGGAGCUCAACGAGAAGGUUGACUUACUUCUCGCUUCAUCUUCCAACCACCAGUCAUCUCUCUCUGAAGCCGCUCUUCAGAAGAUUGUUGAUGCCUUCUCCAGGGCUCAGCAUGAUUCUGUAGCUUCAGCCUCAGCCGCCAUAGACGCCUCCACAAAAGCCUGUGAGGCUGCGACCGCAAAAGUCGAUAAACUAUUCUCAGACGCUUCUACCCUGUUGAAGUCCUUACAGGAAAGCGCUGACGCCACCAAGACAACUUUGGAACCGAUUGUUCAGCAAUUGGCAAAGUUCAUCUCAACGGAGUUGACAUCGUUCGCUACUCUUCGCCAAACCAUAAGCGACGACAACUCGGCCCUUCGUGCCUCCAUUGAUGAGCGCCUCGCUAAGCUUCAAGAGGAUCUCGCAGCUGAAAACUCAUUGAUGGACGUUCUGGCAAACAAAACCACCGCCCUAAAGGUCAAGAGCACUCAACUUUCAAACUCACAGCAACAGCUUGAAGCUCUUCGAUCCGAACGGGAGGUUAUCAAGACAUGUGUUUCGGAUGUACACGCUGCUCUAUCCAACAUCCUAGAAGCACACGAUCCGAUUCUAAACCAUUCGGUGAGGCGAACCCUUGCUGAAAAACUUGCUCCUUCCUUGGACCUUCUCAGCAAAAUCAAAGGUUUACCUAGUUUCGUGUCCACUCCGAAAAAAGGGGGAGAAGAGAAGAAGUCCAGAUCGAAAACACCUCCUUCCUCCAAAGCUACUCACACAACCGAACCACCUCCGACUGGUCAAGCUUCGGGUUCGGGUGUGAAGGAUAAAGGGAAACACAUAGCUGAGGAAGAAGAUGAAGAUGAAGAUGAUGAAACCAUUGCUGACAUGUUGAAACGAAAGAACAGUCGCAAUGUGGAUGAUGAUGUUAAUCGUGUGGCGCGAGAGGCUGAAGAAGCCG